rnacentral:rRNA from 1 species
AACGAACGCUGGCGGCAUGCCUAACACAUGCAAGUCGAACGAGACCUUUGGGUCUAGUGGCGCACGGGUACGUAACGCGUGGGAAUCUGCCCUUGGGUUCGGAAUAACAGUUAGAAAUGACUGCUAAUACCGGAUGAUGACUUCGGUCCAAAGAUUUAUCGCCCAAGGAUGAGCCCGCGUAGGAUUAGCUAGUUGGUAGGGUAAAGGCCUACCAAGGCGACGAUCCUUAGCUGGUCUGAGAGGAUGAUCAGCCACACUGGGACUGAGACACGGCCCAGACUCCUACGGGAGGCAGCAGUGGGGAACAUUGGACAAUGGGCGAAAGCCUGAUCCAGCAAUGCCGCGUGAGUGAUGAAGGCCCUAGGGUUGUAAAGCUCUUUUACCCGGGAUGAUAAUGACAGUACCGGGAGAAUAAGCCCCGGCUAACUCCGUGCCAGCCGCCGCGGUAAAAC